UACAGAGGGUGCGAGCGUUUGUUCGGAAUUAUUGGGCGUAAAGCGCUUGUAGGCGGCUUGUUAAGUUCCGUGUGAAAUCCCCAGGCUUAACCUGGGAAGUGCGCGGAAAACUGGCGAGCUUGAGUGCCGGAGAGGGUCGCGGAAUUCCCGGUGUAGAGGUGAAAUUCGUAGAUAUCGGGGAGGAACACCAGUGGCGAAGGCGGCGACCUGGACGGACACUGACGGCUGAGACGCGAAAGCGUGGGGAGCAAACAGG
rnacentral:rRNA from 1 species